CACAAAUAUGAAGGCGGGCUGGAACCUCUCGGGGUUACAGCCUUGCUGAAUUAUUCACCCUUGUCUUUUGCGUACUUCUUGUUUCCUUGGUGGGUUCGCCCACCACUAGGACAAACAUAAACCUUUUGUAAUUGCAAUCAGCGUCAGUAACAAAUUAAUAAUUACAACUUUCAACAACGGAUCUCUUGGUUCUGGCAUCGAUGAAGAACGCAGCGAAAUGCGAUAAGUAGUGUGAAUUGCAGAAUUCAGUGAAUCAUCGAAUCUUUGAACGCACAUUGCGCCCUUUGGUAUUCCAAAGGGCAUGCCUGUUCGAGCGUCAUUUGUACCCUCAAGCUUUGCUUGGUGUUGGGCGUCUUGUCUCUAGCUUUGCUGGAGACUCGCCUUAAAGCAAUUGGCAGCCGGCCUACUGGUUUCGGAGCGCAGCACAAGUCGCACUCUCUAUCAGCAAAGGUCUAGCAUCCAUUAAGCCUUUUUUUCAA
rnacentral:sRNA from 1 species